rnacentral:rRNA from 1 species
UUUCCCCUUGAACGAGGAAUUCCUAGUAAGCACAAGUCAUCAGCUUGUGCUGAUUACGUCCCUGCAAAAUGUACACAUCGCCCGUCGCUUGCUCCGAUUGAGUAAUCUGGUGAGCCUUCUUGACUGAGAUAGCAAUAUUUUGGAAAAUUAAGCAAACCAUAUUACUUAGAGGAUGAAGAAGUCGUAACAAAGUUUCCGUAGGUGAACCUGCGGAAGG